UGAAGUAAAAGUCGUAACAAGGUUUCCGUAGGUGAACCUGCGGAAGGAUCAUUAUUGGAUUUUGAAACUUCAGGCUGCUGCUGGCUCUCCUCGGAGGGCAUGUGCACGCUUGUUGUCCAUUAUUUCUCCCACUGUGCACAAAUUGUAGACCUUUCAGUAGGCCUAUGUUGUUUUUCACAAUCUCUGAAUGUAAUAGAAUGGUUUUGAAUCUUGGGAAAUACAAUACAACUUUCAGCAACGGAUCUCUUGGCUCUC
rnacentral:misc_RNA from 1 species